AUUAAACAUCUUUAUUGAAACUGCUCGUACCCUACUCAUACAAUCUCAUGCUCCGUUGCGUUUUUGGGGGAUGCAGUUCUUACAUCUUGCUAUCUUAUUAACCGUAUGCCAUCUUCAGCUAUCCAGAACCAAGUUCCAUUCUCUGUCAUGUUUCCCCACUUACCUUUGUUCUCUCUUCCACCCCGUAUCUUUGGAAGCACUUGUUUUGUCCAUAACCUUACUCCAGGAACAGUUAAGUUAGCUCCUCGUGCUCUUAAGUGCGUAUUCCUGGGUUUCUCGAGAACACAAAAGGGGUAUCGAUGUUACUCUCCUGACCUCCAACGGUACCUUAUGUCCUCUGAUGUUACCUUCUUUGAAACCCAAUCAUACUUCACAGGUUCAGGUCAUCACUUAGAUAUUUCUGAGGUACUACCAGUUUCAUCUUUUGGAGAUUCAGUCACUCCAGCUCCACCACCUACAACUCCAGUUGUAGCUCCACCACCUAUAGUUCCAGUUCCACCACCUACAACUCCAGUUGUAGCUCCACCACCUAUAGCUCCAGUUCCUUCGCAUAAUCCAGUUCAACCUUCUGCAACUCCACCACUCUUGACUUAUCAUCGUCGUCCACAUCCAGCAUCAGGCCCAGGUGAUUCACUCCCCGCAUCAGAUUCUGCACCUACUGCGGACUUGUCUCCUCUUAGUCAACCAAUUGCACUCCGCAAAGGUGUAUGAUCCACACCUAAUCCUAAUCCCCACUAUGUCGGUUUAAGUUAUCAUCGUUUGUCGUCACCUCAUUAUGUUUUUAUAUCUUCUUUGUCCACUGUUUCUAUCCCUAAGUCUACAGGUGAGGCACUAUCUCAUCCAGGAUGGCGACAUGCUAUGAUU
rnacentral:lncRNA from 1 species